rnacentral:rRNA from 1 species
UACGUAGGCAGCGAGCGUUGUUCGGAAUUACUGGGCGUAAAGAGGUGUGUAGGCGGUGCUCUAAGUUCGGUGUGAAAUCUCCUGCUCAACUGGGAGGGUGCGCCGGAAACUGGAGUGCUUGAGCGUGGGAGAGGAAAGCGGGAAUUCCUGGUGUAGCGGUGAAAUGCGUAGAUAUCAGGAGGAACACCCAUGGCGAAGGCAGCUCUCUGGUCGACCUCUGACGCUGAGACGGCGAAAGCGUGGGGGAGCGAAACGGG